UGUCUUUGCAUUUAUCACAACCACGGUAUGACAUUCCGCUAACAUCCCCACUUCACAGAUGAGCAAACAGAACACAGCCAUCAGCCAAGGCCCCUUGUAGAGAGGCAAAUUACUGUUUACAGCUACCAAGUUGGUAUCCAGGUCUUCCUGACUGGGAAGUUAAACCUUAACAAAAACAAUCAGCCCCUCCCCCAUUCGUUGGCAAAUAGAAAUAAAAAAAAAUUAAAAUUGUGUGGUAACAAUACACCAUGCAAGUUUUCUCUCUACAAUAUAAAAUAAGAAUAAACAGUGUGGUGCUUAGAUGAGGUUGAGAAGGAAUUGCCAGCACAGGGACAGAGAGUCAGAGAGACCAUAGGGGUGGAGGGAAGCAGGUGCUCGGCAGCUAGCCCAGUCUCUCAUGCUUGGAGGGACUCUGGGUUAGCCUCUGCUAAGCAGGAGAUUUCACCAUUCUAUGGCUCCAAAGUUCUCCGGGUCAUGAUGUCUGCUGGAUGGGAGUUUCCACUGUUACCAUGUAAUUUACCAAACAUGUACAAAGUGUCUUGGUCAUAGAGCAAGCAAAAAUGAGCAACAAAUAGGCCAAAUAACAGCAUAUCAAGGUUCCAGGUCAUAAUCCCCAGUGCCUGCAAAGGCUGCCUUAAGACUGCAAAGGGAUUUUGUUUUUUGUUUUUUGUUUUUUUGUUUUUUGUUUUUUCAGACAAAAUGAAGAAUGUUAAAAUGAAGUGACCAUCUUGAAUCAUUAUCUGAGCAAGCCUGAAGUAACCAUCUAGCCCUUUGAUAUAAGGUCAGAGGAUGCUGUUGCUGGCUUUGAAGAUGGACAAGAGGACCACGAGCCAAAGAGCACAUGUCUGCAUGCUGGAAAAGCCUAAGAAAAGGACUCUUCCCUGGAGACUCCAGGGGGUGUGAGCCCUGCCACACCUUGAUUCUAAACACUGCUGCCCAAGAUCCAUUUCACCCUUCAGAACUGAGGGGCAAAGGACUGCCUCUGAUAGACAGGGACAGGUGGGGCACGAAAACGGCAGUUUAUAAAGGUUGUAUUUGUGGGUGUUUAUUCAUCCUGCUGAGGAGACAUAAACAGAGAAGUCUAUUCAGCCCAGAUAGAGCACCAAUGCCAAACCAAAGCACUUGCUCUCAACCUUCCCAAUACUUGGGGUCCUUCAGUACAGUUCCUCAUGCUAUGACCCCCCAACCAUAAAAUUAUUUUGUUGCUACUUCAUAAGUGUAUUUUUGCUACUGUUAUGAAUCAUAAUGUACAUGUCUGAUAUUUGGGAUAUCUGAUAUGCAACCCCCAAAGGAGUUGUGACCCACAGUUUGAGAACCACUGGACCAAAGAAUCAUCCCAUCCAAACCCAGUCUAGUGAACCAGUGAGUCUAUUGGGGUUACUUUCAGCAGCAUAAAUGCAAAGCCCAGUCCUCCAUGGGUGACAGCUCACAGAAGGCCAAAGCCCUGGACCUCCCUGCUUCCUGCACAAACUUGCAGCCAGCUGUGCCAAUCAGAGAGUCAUUUCCACCCAGCAAUCACUCACUGCUGUUUUUUUGUUUGGGUUUGUUUUUUCUUUUUUAGACAGGGUCUUGUGUAUCCCAAGCAAGCCUGAAGCCUAGCUAGCUAUGUAGUUGAACAUGACCUUGAAGUUUCUGAUUCUCCUGCCUCUACCUCCCAAGUGCUGAGAUUACAGGAGUGCUUAAGUAUGCUUGGUUUCUGUGGUUCUGGGACUGGAACCCAGGCAUCACAUAUGCUUAGCAAGCACUCCAUCAAUGGAACUACAAGCCCAGCCCUGCUUUUAUAAUCUUGAGGAGGGACUUUGUGAGUCCUGUAGGCCUCAGGAGCUUCCCAAACCACGUUAAAUUUCCUUUACUUCCUAAAUCUUGAGUCUCCUUCC
rnacentral:lncRNA from 1 species